rnacentral:rRNA from 1 species
CGACGGGCUCAUAUUGAACCUAGUGAUGUAUGAGUUAGUGGCGGACGGGUGAGUAACGCGUGGAGAACCUGCCGUAUACUGGGGGAUAACACUUAGAAAUAGGUGCUAAUACCGCAUAAGCGCACAGCUUCGCAUGAAGCAGUGUGAAAAACUCCGGUGGUAUACGAUGGAUCCGCGUCUGAUUAGCUGGUUGGCGGGGUAACAGCCCACCAAGGCGACGAUCAGUAGCCGGCCUGAGAGGGUGAACGGCCACAUUGGGACUGAGACACGGCCCAAACUCCUACGGGAGGCAGCAGUGGGGAAUAUUGCACAAUGGGGGAAACCCUGAUGCAGCGACGCCGCGUGAGUGAAGAAGUAUUUCGGUAUGUAAAGCUCUAUCAGCAGGGAAGAAAUACUGACCUUACGGUCAGCAGACGGUACCUGACUAAGAAGCCCCGGCUAACUACGUGCCAGCAGCCGCGGUAAUACGUAGGGGGCAAGCGUUAUCCGGAUUUACUGGGUGUAAAGGGAGCGUAGACGGCAGCGCAAGUCUGAAGUGAAAUCCCAUGGCUUAACCAUGGAACUGCUUUGGAAACUGUGCAGCUGGAGUGCAGGAGAGGUAAGCGGAAUUCCUAGUGUAGCGGUGAAAUGCGUAGAUAUUAGGAGGAACACCAGUGGCGAAGGCGGCUUGCUGGACUGUAACUGACGUUGAGGCUCGAAAGCGUGGGGAGCAAACAGGAUUAGAUACCCUGGUAGUCCACGCCGUANACGAUGAUUACUAGGUG